rnacentral:rRNA from 1 species
UAGUCCACGCCGUAAACGAUGGUCACUAGCUGUUUGGACUUUUGUCUGAGUGGCUAAGCGAAAGUGAUAAGUGACCCACCUGGGGAGUACGUUCGCAAGAAUGAAACUCAAAGGAAUUGACGGGGGCCCGCACAAGCGGUGGAGCAUGUGGUUUAAUUCGAUGAUACGCGAGGAACCUUACCAGGGCUUAAAUGUAAGUUGCAUGAUUUAGAGAUAGAUCUUUCUUCGGACUACUUACAAGGUGCUGCAUGGUUGUCGUCAGCUCGCGCCGUGAGGUGUCAGGUUAAGUCCUAUAACGAGCGCAACCCCUGUUGUUAGUUGCCAGCGAUUCAAGUCGGGAACUCUAACAAGACCGCCAGUGCAAACUGAGAGGAAGGUGGGGAUGACGUCAAAUCAUCACGGCCCUUACGUCCUGGGCUACACACGUGCUACAAUGGUAGGUACAGAGAGCAGCCACUGCGCGAGCAGGAGCGAAUCUAUAAAACCUAUCACAGUUCGGAUC